AACGAACGCUGGCGGCAUGCCUAACACAUGCAAGUCGAACGAGACCUCCGGGUCUAGUGGCUCACGGGUGCGUAACGCGUGGGAACCUGCCCUUAGGUUCGGAAUAACUCCCCGACAGGGGUGCUAAUACCGGAUAAUGUCUUCGGACCAAAGAUUUAUCGCCUUUGGAUGGGCCCGCGUUGGAUUAGCUUGUUGGUAGGGUAAAAGCCUAUCAAGGCGACGAUCCAUAGCUGGUCUGAGAGGAUGAUCAGCCACACUGGGACUGAGACACGGCCCAGACUCCUACGGGAGGCAGCAGAGGGGAAUAUUGGACAAUGGGCGAAAGCCUGAUCCAGCAAUGCCGGGUGAGUGAUGAAGGCCUUAGGGUUGUAAAGCUCUUUUACCCGGGAUGAUAAUGACAGUACCGGGAGAAUAAGCUCCGGCUAACUCCGUG
rnacentral:rRNA from 1 species